rnacentral:lncRNA from 1 species
UUUCCUGGGGGCGUGGGGCUGUUUGUGGAGGCACAGUGCUGCUCGCUGACGGGGGCUGCUGUGCUCUUUGCAGAGCCGCUCCGCUUGCAGUGAGCGGGGAGCUGCCAUCAUGUGCCAGCAGAAGGGCUGCCGCCGCAGCUUCCACCUCCCAUGCGACUCCGAGCACGGCUGCCUCACAGUUUUUCAAGGAGUACAGAGCCUCAGAAGAGGAGGAGUCUAGGUGAAGUCAAAGACCAAGCCCUUAGAUACCAAUGGAGUCUUGUAGAACUUUCUAGUCUACCCUCAGACUGAUCCUUGCUGAUCAGGUGUAUUGCCAGAAGCAGAAGAAGUCUUUCAGCAAGACUGGUAAGUUAAGAACAGAACCUGAGAAAUUUGGACCAAGCGUACUGACUUUCAUAGGAGAACUAGAAAGUGACAGUCUUCCCUCUUGAUUAGAGGCUAUUUGGUGUGUAAAAUUCAUUCUUCAUACAUAAGUUUCAG